rnacentral:rRNA from 1 species
AAGAAAUCAACCGAGAUUCCGGUAGUAGCGGCGAGCGAACCUGGAUUAGCCCUUAAGCACUCGGUGAAGUAGGUGAACAAGCUGGAAAGCUUGGCGAUACAGGGUGAUAGCCCCGUAACCGACGCUUCAUCGAGCGUGAAAUCGAGUAGGGCGGGACACGUGAUAUCCUGUCUGAAUAUGGGGGGACCAUCCUCCAAGGCUAAAUACUCCUGACUGACCGAUAGUGAACCAGUACCGUGAGGGAAAGGCGAAAAGAACCCCUGUGAGGGGAGUGAAAUAGAACCUGAAACCGUGUACGUACAAGCAGUAGGAGCACCUUCGUGGUGUGACUGCGUACCUUUUGUAUAAUGGGUCAGCGACUUAUAUUCAGUGGCAAGGUUAACCGUAUAGGGGAGCCGUAGCGAAAGCGAGUCUUAACUGGGCGCUCAGUCUCUGGAUAUAGACCCGAAACCGGGUGAUCUAGCCAUGGGCAGGUUGAAGGUUGAGUAACAUCAACUGGAGGACCGAACCGACUAAUGUUGAAAAAUUAGCGGAUGACUUGUGGCUAGGGGUGAAAGGCCAAUCAAACUCGGAGAUAGCUGGUUCUCCCCGAAAGCUAUUUAGGUAGCGCCUCGGACGAAUACUACUGGGGGUAGAGCACUGUUAAGGCUAGGGGGUCAUCCCGACUUACCAACCCUUUGCAAACUCCGAAUAC